rnacentral:misc_RNA from 1 species
ACAAACCCUGGUGGUUGCUCCAUGUAUACCUCUUCAGCCAAUUCUCCAUGCAAGAAGGCAUUUUUGAUGUCCAACUGAUGAAGAGGCCAAUGAAACAUAGCUGCCAUAGAGAUAAGUAGGCGAACAGAAGCAAUCUUCGCCAUCUGGUCCGACCUUAACUGUAAACACCCAACGACAUCCAACUGCAGUUUUACCCUGCGGUAAUGGAACUAUCUCCCAGGUACCAUUAGUAUGAAGUGCAGUCAUCUCCUCAAUCAUGGCUUGGCGCCAACCAGGAUGAGACAUUGCUUCUGACACAGUCUUAGGUAUUGGGACAGUAGAUAAAUUGGAAAUGAAAGCAUGGUAUGAAGGGGACAAACGGUGAUAACUCAAGAAAUUAUAAAUAGGAUAAGGGUUACGAGUGGAUCGAGUACCUUUCCGGAGAGCAAUAGGAAGAUUAGCAUCGUCUGUUAAGGGCUCAACCGGUGCAGGAGAUGAUGUUGAAGCAGGCAAUGAGUCACUGGGAGUUGUCUGUGGACCUGUAUCAAGAGAAGAAAGAUCAAUUGGGUUAGCAGGUGGAGGAUUUGGGUGAGGCCGUCUUGAGUAAACCCGAAGAGGAGGAACAAUCUUCGGAGCAGGAAGAGUAGGAGUGGGAAGAGCUGUAGUGAUGGCAUUUUGGUUAAGUGUGUUUGGCGAGAAAUAUGGAGAAGUUUCGAAAAAGGUUACAUCUGCUGAAAUAAAA